rnacentral:rRNA from 1 species
AUGUGCGGGUGUGCGGAGGCGCUCGUGAGGGCGGUGGUGGCCUUCUUCGACGCCUUCCUCGUUGACUGCUUCCUCUUCUGGUUCCGCCGCCCCCGCCCCCGCCCCGACAACCCCGCCUCCGCCCACCGGGAUCCGCUUGUGCCCAAGGACUGGACAGGGGAGGUGCUCCCGGCCUCGGACAAAGAGAAAGGUGCCCUGGGUUUCUCGGUUUUGCAGAGAGCACAUUGUCGAACCAGCAGUUGGCAGAUGGCAAUGACACAAAUGAGGAGCUUAGGCGAGAGCUCUAGGUCUAUUGUGUUGUGGCUGACCUCUCUGCCGCUGGUUGGACGUCUGUGUGGUACUGUUUCAAGUUUUGAAGAGAGCACAGGCUCGAAUGAACAGUGUGUGUGGAACAGAUUCUUGUCUGAAUUCUCUUCUUGUGGGAGUAUGAACUUGCUUGCAGUAUCUUGGAGUAUCAACUUGGAGCAUCUGCCAAUUUUGCUGUCCAGAACACUACUUCAGUUAAUACACUAUCUAGUACUGCUAGUUCUCAUCUCACUUGUUGUGCUUCUUGUACUGGGAGCACUCUUUGUUAUCCCAAGAUCUAACAUCAAAGGCAACAUGGUGAAUCUAGUACAGGCAUCGUUGGCCAUCCUCUUCGAGGCUGUGUUUAGCGCAUGCUCUUUUUCGCGGAAGAACUUCGAGGGCAAGAUCAAGGAGAACCAGGAGACGAUCACCGGUUACCUCAUCCUCGUCGGCAUGGUUGGCUCCUUUGGCAGACCCCUCUUUGGCUCCGACCAACUUACUUUUGUCGCUGGCUAG